GUUUGUCCCGAGUAGCACGGGGCUCGUGGAAUCUCGUGUGAAUCUGCCAGGACCACCUGGUAAGUCUAAAUACUUUCUAGUGACCGAUAGUGGAUCAGUACCGUGAGGGAAUGGUGAAAAGUACCCCGGGAGGGGAGUGAAAGAGUACCUGAAACCGUGUGCUUACAAGCCGUUGGAGCCUUUUGGGGUGACAGCGUGCCUUUUGAAGAAUGAGCCUGCGAGUUAGUGUUUUGUCGCGAGGUUAACCCGUGUGGGGUAGUCGUAGCGAAAGCGAGUCUGAAUAGGGCGUUGUAGUGGCAGGAUCUAGACCCGCAGCGGAUUGAUCUAUUCAUGGCCAGGGUGAAG
rnacentral:rRNA from 1 species